rnacentral:lncRNA from 1 species
CCGCGUUUUACAUCCGUGUAUAAGUACGCAAAUGUGUAGAUAUAUAGGUUUUCAUGCAGCAUCUGACUCUCUGCGCAAAGGAUACAGGUGGUGUGUCUCUCGCUUUUUUAUCUUUGUCGCCGCGACAGUUGACACGCGAUGGUGGCAGGAGCGAAAAGGACGAGGCGUAAAGGUGGGGACUCGUGAAGAAAAAGGGUGUAUGGAGCUCGACAUACACACGCAAACGAAAAGGAAGGGGGAGGAGGGAGUGGAGCAAACGGCGGAGGCUGCGCUGGGCGAGGCAGCGCGUCGUGUGCUCGUCUUUUUUGUGCCUGUCCUUCUCGCCUCAAAAGGCGUGUGCGGUCGCUUUUUUUUUCGAGGGAAAAGGCGAAAGACGACACACGUGGCUUUCUGCCUCUCCUUCUCCCGGGAGAUGCAUCUGCUUUUUCGCACGAAGGCGAGGCGGACGACGUGAAGAAGAAAGCAAAGAGAAGACGGACCGUCUUUUUCUCGCUCGCCUAGACAAACGUCUCCGCGAAAGGCCGCAAACCAGAGAGACAAAGAUGCACGGAGAAAACAGCCGCGACCCGGUCGCGGGAGUGUCUUCGCCACAAUCUGAGCCCGGAGCCCCCGGAGCACCGCCGUCAUCCUCUCAGUCGACGUCCUCUGUCUGUUUUGCGGAGCCUUCUUCCUUUUCCGCUGACAGUUCUCCCGCCUCAUCCGCUUCGCUCGGGCGGCCUGUCUCUUCUUGGUCGCCCCCGGCGUCUUCAGCUGUAGCCCCAGCCGCGUCUUUGCCCGUGUCUCACCCUUCCCUGGUCCGCAGAUCGCCCGCGAGGACUGUGGCGCCGACGCGGCGCACCAGACAAAUCCUCAGAGAC